rnacentral:rRNA from 1 species
UACGUAGGAGGCGAGCGUUGUCCGGAAUUACUGGGCGUAAAGCGUGCGCAGGCGGUUAUGUAAGACAGAUGUGAAAUGCCCGGGCUUAACCUGGGAACUGCAUUUGUGACUGCAUGGCUAGAGUUUGGCAGAGGGGGGUAGAAUUCCACGUGUAGCAGUGAAAUGCGUAGAGAUGUGGAGGAACACCGAUGGCGAAGGCAGCCCCCUGGGUUAACACUGACGCUCAGGCACGAAAGGCGUGGGGAGCAAACGAGG